rnacentral:rRNA from 1 species
AACGAACGCUGGCGGCAUGCCUAACACAUGCAAGUCGAACGAGACCUUCGGGUCUAGUGGCGCACGGGUGCGUAACGCGUGGGAACCUGCCCUUAGGUUCGGAAUAACUCCCCGAAAGGGGUGCUAAUACCGGAUAAUGCCUUCGGACCAAAGAUUUAUCGCCUUUGGAUGGGCCCGCGUUGGAUUAGCUAGUUGGUAGGGUAAAAGCCUACCAAGGCGACGAUCCAUAGCUGGUCUGAGAGGAUGAUCAGCCACACUGGGACUGAGACACGGCCCAGACUCCUACGGGAGGCAGCAGUGGGGAAUAUUGGACAAUGGGCGAAAGCCUGAUCCAGCAAUGCCGCGUGAGUGAUGAAGGCCUUAGAGUUGUAAAGCUCUUUUACCCGGGAUGAUAAUGACAGUACCGGGAGAAUAAGCUCCGGCUAACUCCGUG